rnacentral:rRNA from 1 species
AGUAGUUUGAUCAUGGCUCAGGAUGAACGCUGGCGGCGUGCCUAACACAUGCAAGUCGAGCGAGAAGCUUAUGAAUGAAACUUCGGUCGAAUGAAUAAGUGGAAAGCGGCGGACGGGUGAGUAACGCGUAGGCAACCUGCCCUUAGCAGGGGGAUAGCCAUUGGAAACGAUGAUUAAAACCCCAUAAUGCGAGUUUAUCACAUGUUGAACUCGCCAAAGAUUUAUCGGCUAAGGAUGGGCCUGCGUCUGAUUAGGUAGUUGGUGAGGUAACGGCCCACCAAGCCUACGAUCAGUAGCCGACCUGAGAGGGUGAUCGGCCACAUUGGAACUGAGACACGGUCCAAACUCC